GACAGAGGGUGCAAACGUUGUUCGGAAUUACUGGGCGUAAAGCGUGUGUAGGCGGCUUGGCAAGUCGGAUGUGGAAGCCCCGGGCUCAACCCGGGAAGUGCACUCGAUACUGCCUCGCUAGAGUACCGGAGAGGUUGGUGGAAUUCUCGGUGUAGAGGUGAAAUUCGUAGAUAUCGAGAGGAACACCAGUGGCGAAGGCGGCUCACUGGACCGGUACUGACGCUGAUGCGCGAAAGCGUGGGGAGCAAACGGG
rnacentral:rRNA from 1 species